rnacentral:rRNA from 1 species
AGUGAACGCUGGCGGUAGGCCUAACACAUGCAAGUCGAACGGCAGCACAGUAAGAGCUUGCUCUUACGGGUGGCGAGUGGCGGACGGGUGAGGAAUACAUCGGAAUCUACUUUUUCGUGGGGGAUAACGUAGGGAAACUUACGCUAAUACCGCAUACGACCUACGGGUGAAAGCAGGGGAUCUUCGGACCUUGCGCGAUUGAAUGAGCCGAUGUCGGAUUAGCUAGUUGGCGGGGUAAAGGCCCACCAAGGCGACGAUCCGUAGCUGGUCUGAGAGGAUGAUCAGCCACACUGGAACUGAGACACGGUCCAGACUCCUACGGGAGGCAGCAGUGGGGAAUAUUGGACAAUGGGCGCAAGCCUGAUCCAGCCAUACCGCGUGAGUGAAGAAGGACUUCGGGUUGUAAAGCCCUUUUGUUGGGAAAGAAAAGCAGCAGGUUAAUACCCCGCUGUUCUGACGGUACCCAAAGAAUAAGCACCGGCUAACUUCGUG